ACUCAAAGGAAUAGACGGGGGCCCGCACAAGCGGUGGAACAUGUGGCUUAAUUCGAUGCAACGCGAAGAACCUUACCUAGGCUUGACAUAUAUUGGGCGAUCUGCGAAAGCAGAUUUCUCUUCGGAGCCGAUAUACAGGUGCUGCAUGGCUGUCGUCAGCUCGUGUCGUGAGAUGUUCGGUUAAGUCCGGCAACGAGCGCAACCCUCGCCCUUAGUUGCCAGCGGGUAAAGCCGGGGACUUUAAGGGGACAAACUUUUAAAGUGGGAAGGUGGGGAUGAUGUCAAGUCAGCAUGGCCCUUACGUCUAGGGCUGCACACGUGUUACAAUGCCCGGUACAAUGAGAAGCAAGGCCGCAAGGCGGAGCAAAUCUAUAAAGCCGGGCCCAGUUCAGAUUGAAGUCUGCAACUCGACUUCAUGAAGCCGGAAUCGCUAGUAAUGGCGUAUCAGCUAUGACGCCGUGAAUACGUUCUCGGGCCUUGUACACACCGCCCGU
rnacentral:rRNA from 1 species